UACGUAGGGUGCAAGCGUUCAUCGGAAUUACUGGGCGUAAAGCGUGCGCAGGCGGUUUUGUAAGGCAGAUGGGAAAUCCCCGGGCUUAACCUGGGAACUGCGUUUGAAACUACAAGGCUAGAGUGUGGCAGAGGGGGGUGGAAUUCCACGUGUAGCAGUGAAAUGCGUAGAGAUGUGGAGGAACACCGAUGGCGAAGGCAGCCCCCUGGGUUAACACUGACGCUCAGGCACGAAAGCGUGGGGAGCAAACAGG
rnacentral:rRNA from 1 species